rnacentral:misc_RNA from 1 species
UUAAGUUCAGCGGGUAGUCCUACCUGAUUUGAGGUCUCCAAAAUAAUAUAAAGGUUUUGGUUAUAAGCAGUGCAAUCUGUUCAUGCAGUAUUACCAAGGCAUAGAUAAAUUAUCACACCUGUAGUAGUUCUCUGCUCAGAUACCACUAAUGCAUUUCAGGGGAGCAGACUUCAUUUUUUGAAGACGAGGCCUGCAAAUUU